rnacentral:rRNA from 1 species
AGAGUUUGAUCCUGGCUCAGAACGAACGUUGGCGGCGUGGAUUAGGCAUGCAAGUCGAGCGAGAAAGUCCCUUCGGGGGCGAGUACAGCGGCACAAGGGUGAGUAAUGCAUAGUUAACUUACCCUCGAGACAGGGAUAGCUUCGGGAAACUGAAGGUAAUACCAGAUAACAUCAACUUUUUGCAUAAGGGUUGAUCAAAAGAUAGGCGUAUUUUCGAAUAUGUCUUUCGCUCGGUGAGGAGACUAUGUCCUAUUAGCUUGUUGGUAGGGUAACAGCCUACCAAGGCAAUGAUGGGUAGCCGGGCUGAGAGGUUGUUCGGCCUCACUGGGACUGAGACACUGCCCAGACUCCUACGGGAGGCUGCAGUCGAGAAUCUUCCCCAAUGGGCGCAAGCCUGAGGGAGCGACGCCGCGUGGAGGAUGAAGGCCUUCGGGUUGUAAACUCCUGUCACAGUUUAGGAACCGUUUGUAGUUAAUAGCUGCAAACCUGACCAAACUGAGAGGAAGUCACUGCUAACUUCGUGCCAGCAGCAGCGGUAAUACGAAGGUGGCUAACGUUGUUCGGAAUCACUGGGCAUAAAGCGUGUGUAGGCGGCUUGGCAAGUGAGGUGUGAAAUCCCUGGGCUCAACUCAGGAACUGCGCCUCAAACUACCUUGCUUGAGUACUGGAGGGGUGUGUGGAACUCUUGGUGGAGCGGUGAAAUGCGUAGAUAUCAAGAGGAACGCCGGUGGCGAAAGCGACACACUGGCCAGAAACUGACGCUGAGACACGAAAGCUAGGGUAGCAAACAGGAUUAGAUACCCUGGUAGUCCUAGCCGUAAACGAUGGGCACUAAGUAGGAGAACCUCCGAUGGUUUUCCUGCUGAAGCUAAUGUAUUAAGUGCCCCGCCUGGGGAGUACGGUCGCAAGAUUAAAACUCAAAGGAAUUGACGGGGGCUCGCACAAGCGGUGGAGCAUGUUGUUUAAUUCGACGCAACGCGAAGAACCUUACCUGGGCUUGACAUGUACGUAGUACUGAUCUGAAAAGUGAGGGACCCUUCGGGGAGCGUACACAGGUGCUGCAUGGCUGUCGUCAGCUCGUGUCGUGAGAUGUCGGGUUAAGUCCCAUAACGAGCGAAACCCUUACCGUUAGUUACCAUCAGGUCAUGCUGGGGACUCUAGCGGGACUGCCGCGAAAGUUGGAGGAAGGUGGGGACGACGUCAAGUCAUCAUGGCCCUUACGCCCAGGGCUACAAACGUGCUACAAUGGCUGGUACAGAGGGAUGCAAGACCGCGAGGUGGAGCCAACCCCUUAAAGCCAGCCCCAGUUCGGAUUGCAGGCUGCAACUCGCCUGCAUGAAGGUGGAAUCGCUAGUAAUCGUGGAUCAGCUAUGCCACGGUGAAUACGUUCUCGGGGCUUGUACACACCGCCCGUCACAUCACGGAAGUCGGUAACACCCGAAGUCAGUGGCCUAACCCUUUACUGGGAGGGAGCUGCCUAAGGUGGGAUUGGUAACUGGGAUGAAGUCGUAACAAGGUAACC